CUCUCGGCAACGGAUAUCUAGGCUCUCGCAUCGAUGAAGAACGUAGCGAAAUGCGAUACUUGGUGUGAAUUGCAGAAUCCCGCGAAUCAUCGAGUUUUUGAACGCAGGUUGCGCCCAAAGCCAUUCGGCCGAGGGCACGUCUGCCUGGGUGUCACGCAUCGUUGC
rnacentral:rRNA from 1 species